rnacentral:tRNA from 1 species
UCCCAGGUGUCUAAGCAGCAAAGAAUCUGCCUGAAAUGCAGGAAAUGUGGGUUCGAUCCCUGGGUUGGGAA